GGCUCAGAAAGAACGCUGGCGGCGUGUUCUACACAUGCAAGUCGAACGAACCUUCGGGUUAGUGGCGGACGGGUGAGUAACGUUUGCCAAUCUGCCCUCAGGAGGGGGAUAACGGUUGGAAACGACCGCUAAUACCCCAUAUGCCGAGAGGUGAAAAGAAAUUCGCCUGAGGAUGAGCUCGCGUCUGAUUAGCUAGUUGGUGUGGUAAUGGCGCACCAAGGCUUCGAUCAGUAGCUGGUCUGAGAGGAUGAUCAGCCACACUGGGACUGAGACACGGCCCAGACUCCUACGGGAGGCAGCAGUGGG
rnacentral:rRNA from 1 species